GCUACGGGUGGCAGCAGUGGGGAAUAUUGGGCAAUGGAGGAGACUCUGACCCAGCAACGCCGCGUGAAUGAUGAAGGUCUUCGGAUUGUAAAGUUCUUUUCUAAGGGAAGAAGAAAGUGACGGUACCGUAGGAAUAAGCCUCGGCUAACUACGUGCCAGCAGCCGCUGUAAUACGUAGGCGGCAAGCGUUAUCCGGAAUGAAUGGGCGUAAAGGGUGCGUAGGAGGUUUGACAAGUUGGUAGCGUAACUCCGGUGCUCAACCUGGGCACUACUACCAAAACAGGCGGACUUGAUUGCAGGAGGGGAAAAUGGAAUUCCUGGUGUAGCGGUGGAAUGCGUAGAUAUUAGGAGGAACACCAGUGGCGAAGGCGAUUUGCUGGACUGUAACUGACACUGAGGCACGAAAGCGUGGGUAGCAAACAGGAUUAGAUACCCCUGUAGUC
rnacentral:rRNA from 1 species